rnacentral:rRNA from 1 species
GGACGAACGCUGGCGGCGUGCUUAACACAUGCAAGUCGAACGGAGUAAAGAGCUUCGGCUUUUACUUAGUGGCGGACGGGUGAGUAACGCGUGAGUAACCUGCCUUGGAGUGGGGAAUAACACAGUGAAAAUUGUGCUAAUACCGCAUAAUGCAUUUGAGUCGCAUGGCUCUGAAUGCCAAAGAUUUAUCGCUCUGAGAUGGACUCGCGUCUGAUUAGCUAGUUGGUGGGGUAACGGCCCACCAAGGCGACGAUCAGUAGCCGGACUGAGAGGUUGGCCGGCCACAUUGGGACUGAGACACGGCCCAGACUCCUACGGGAGGCAGCAGUGGGGAAUAUUGGGCAAUGGGCGCAAGCCUGACCCAGCAACGCCGCGUGAAGGAAGAAGGCCCUCGGGUUGUAAACUUCUUUUGUCAGGGACGAAAUCUGACGGUACCUGACGAAUAAGCCACGGCUAACUACGUG